rnacentral:rRNA from 1 species
UGGGGAAUAUUGCACAAUGGGCGCAAGCCUGAUGCAGCCAUGCCGCGUGUGUGAAGAAGGCCUUCGGGUUGUAAAGCACUUUCAGCGAGGAGGAAGGUGGUGGACUUAAUACGUUCAUCAAUUGGACGUUACUCGCAGAAGAAGCACCGGCUAACUCCGUGCCAGCAGCCGCGGUAAUACGGAGGGUGCAAGCGUUAAUCGGAAUUACUGGGCGUAAAGCGCACGCAGGCGGUUUGUUAAGUCAGAUGUGAAAUCCCCGGGCUCAACCUGGGAACUGCAUUUGAAACUGGCAAGCUAGAGUCUCGUAGAGGGGGGUAGAAUUCCAGGUGUAGCGGUGAAAUGCGUAGAGAUCUGGAGGAAUACCGGUGGCGAAGGCGGCCCCCCUGGACGAAGACUGACGCUCAGGUGCGAAAGCGUGGGGCAGCAAACAGGAUUAGAUACCCUGGUAGUCCACGCUGUAAACGAUGUCGAUUUGGAGGUUGUGCCCUUGAGGCGUGGCUUCCGGAGCUAACGCGUUAAAUCGACCGCCU